rnacentral:misc_RNA from 1 species
UAGCUCUUUAACAAUUUGGAAAGCUGACAAAGUAACUUAUCUUCAUUGAUGGGUUACUUGUAAAGUUCUCAAUCUUUAUCUUUUGAUAAAGACCAAAAAUACACAUUCAAGUGUGCUUGGUGAAAAACAUCUUCGGAUGCUUUUCAAAAUUGAGUCCGGCAAAAUCUGUCUCGCACUCAUGUAAAUUAAACGCGAGACAACUCGGUCGCUUGUUUGUUUUCACUCUCGUGAAAGCAAGAAGCCAAAGACCCUUUGGGGUUGUAU